rnacentral:rRNA from 1 species
CAGCCGCCGCGGGAAUACCAGCACCUCGAGUGGUCAGGAGGUUUAUUGGGCCUAAAGCAUCCGUAGCCGGUUGCAUAAGUUUUCGGUUAAAUCUAUGCGCUUAACGUAUAGGCCGCCGAAAAUACUGUGCAGCUAGGGAGUGGUAGAGGUACACGGUACUCGAUAGGAAGGGGUAAAAUCCUUUGAUCUAUUGGUGACCACCUGUGGCGAAGGCGGUGUACCAGAACACGUUCGACGGUGAGGGAUGAAAGCUGGGGGAGCAAACCGGAUUAGAUACCCGCGUAGUCCCUGUCUCUUAUAA